rnacentral:rRNA from 1 species
UACGUAGGGUGCGAGCGUUGUCCUGAAUUAUUGGGCGUAAAGGGCUCGUAGGCGGUUUGUCGCGUCGGGAGUGAAAACACCGGGCUUAACUCGGUGCUUGCUUUCGAUACGGGCAGACUAGAGGUAUGCAGGGGAGAACGGAAUUCCAGGUGUAGCGGUGAAAUGCGUAGAUAUCUGGAGGAAUACCGGUGGCGAAGGCGGCAUCCUGGACCGACAUUGACGCUGAGGCGCGACAGCGUGGGGAGCAAACAGG